rnacentral:rRNA from 1 species
GAUCCUGGCUCAGGACGAACGCUGGCGGCGUGCUUAACACAUGCAAGUCGAACGGAAAGGCCCUGCUUUUGUGGGGUGCUCGAGUGGCGAACGGGUGAGUAACACGUGAGUAACCUGCCCUUGACUUUGGGGAUAACUUCAGGAAACUGGGGCUAAUACCGGAUAGGAGCUCCUGCUGCAUGGUGGGGGUUGGAAAGUUUCGGCGGUUGGGGAUGGACUCGCGGCUUAUCAGCUUGUUGGUGGGGUAGUGGCUUACCAAGG